rnacentral:rRNA from 1 species
GAUGAACGCUGGCGGCGUGCCUAAUACAUGCAAGUCGAGCGGUAACACUUCGGGUGACGAGAGGCGGACGGCUGAGUAACGCGUAGGAAUGUACCCCAGAGUGAGGGAUAAGCACCGGAAACGGUGUCUAAUACCGCAUAACCUCAUAGGAGAAACGCUUCGGAGCUUUGGGAACGGCCUGCGUAUGAUUAGCUUGUUGGUGAGGUAAAAGCUCACCAAGGCUAUGAUCAUUAGCUGGUCUGAGAGGAUGAUCAGCCAGACUGGGACUGAGACACGGCCCAGACUCCUACGGGAGGCAGCAGUAGGGAAUUUUCCACAAUGGACGAAAGUCUGAUGGAGCAACGCCGCGUGCAGGAUGAAGGCCUUCGGGUUGUAAACUGCUUUUAUCUGUUAAGAUUAUGACGGUAGCAGAUGAAUAAGGAUCGGCUAACUCCGUGCCAGCCGCCGCGGUAA